GCAGAACUCUUGUAAUUGAUAAUGACAAUCAGGAAGAAACAGGAGAAAAUAACACGCACAACGUUUGAUUCAGGCGAUCAAAUAGAUAAAAGGAAGUCCAGAGGCCGUGUGUGCGUCAGCGGUUACUGAGGAAACGAAACAGCCCGCAUUAUGUCCCAGCACAUGUUAAUAUUUUACAGCGUGAACAAGCUUCCUCAUUCUGGCCUCCUCUUAACACUUUUUUUUCCCCACAGAUGCAAAUAAAAUUGAAAUCAGCCUGGCUAUGUUGUGCUCUUCGAAAGAAGCCCUCCUCUGUGACAAGGCCACCACGAGGGACCGUGUGUUUGAGCAGCUGCAAAAACAUUUCCACAACAAGCUGCAGAACUUUGUUCUCUGGGAACUUAAGAAGCCAAACUAAGCGACACCAGACACAUCAUGUUUUUACUUUUUUUGAUUUUACUUUGGUGUUUUGUGAUUUUAAAUAGAGUGAUGGGAUCUGAUAAUGUAAAUGUAGACUAUACUUACACUAGAAUAUAAUUUUAAUCUGUGCUGCUUACUCUUUUUAAAAGAGUGAAUUUUGUAAAAAGGUUUUCCUUGAUUUUGUUUGCCAUGUAUGGCCCAUUCCCUCCAGGAAGAGAAAAGAGGAAAGAGAAAUAGAAAGUUUAGUCAUGGAACAAUGAAAUAUAGUCAUGGAUUAUGAAUUAUGAGAAACAAAAACAGAGUAAGUUAGGAGAUCUACAAGAAAGAAAGUAAAAAGUUACAGUUUGCAUUUUGGUUUUUAAUGUUGAACUUUGUAUUUAUUUUGUAAACUGGCUUCCAGAUAUGUGUCUGAUGAUGAAACUAAAUAAAAACAAAACAACAUGUGAAAAUAAUCUUGUAUUCCUUCUGACUAUACACCACAGCGAGCUUCUUGGCAGUUAU
rnacentral:lncRNA from 1 species